CCUCUUUAAAAAAAAAACAACAACUCUUAUUGUAAGUUCGUUUUAAGGAAUAUACAGUUUUUUUGCUGGAUCACGCCACCGGUGUUAGUGUACGGUUUUCUUUGGUUUCGUCCUUCCUUUUCUUUUUGUUGAUACUUUGCUCUUACCCUUGUUUGCUCUGGAUGUUUUUUUGUGUGUGUUUUCAUGUUAUGCUGGAUUGGAUAUUCAGCAACUUUAUUUUCAUUGCACUCAAGUCUGCCUUGGACAAUUUGGACAGGAUAAAGUGAUCGUUACAAAGUAUUCACACCCCAGUCAGAGGAUGUCAGGUGCAACUGCUGGUGGACGCUGCAUGCUGACAUUUAACAAAUAAGACGGCCCGUUUUAUGGAG